rnacentral:tRNA from 1 species
GCCUGGCUGGCUCAGUGGGUGGAGCAUGGGACUCCUGACCUCGGGGCUGUGAGUUCAAGCCCCACGCUAGGUG